AUUGAACGCUGGCGGCAUGCCUUACACAUGCAAGUCGAACGGUAACAGGUCUUCGGAUGCUGACGAGUGGCGAACGGGUGAGUAAUACAUCGGAACGUGCCUAGUAGUGGGGGAUAACUACUCGAAAGAGUGGCUAAUACCGCAUGAGAUCUACGGAUGAAAGCAGGGGAUCGCAAGACCUUGUGCUACUAGAGCGGCCGAUGGCAGAUUAGGUAGUUGGUGGGAUAAAAGCUUACCAAGCCGACGAUCUGUAGCUGGUCUGAGAGGACGAUCAGCCACACUGGGACUGAGACACGGCCCAGACUCCUACGGGAGGCAGCAGUGGGGAAUUUUGGACAAUGGGCGAAAACCUGAUCCAGCAAUGCCGCGUGCAGGAUGAAGGCCUUCGGGUUGUAAACUGCUUUAGUACGGAACGAAAAGCCCCGGGUUAAUACCCUGGGGUCAUGACGGUACCGUAAGAAUAAGCACCGGCUAACUACGUGCCAGCCGCCGCAGUAA
rnacentral:rRNA from 1 species